rnacentral:misc_RNA from 1 species
AAGAUGCGAUAUGUAUUGUGAAUUGCAGAAUGAGAAUCAUCAAAUCUUUGAACGCACAUUGCGCUUCCGUGUAAGGCGGGAGCAUUCCUGUUUGAGUGUUUGUAACUCCGACUCCGAGCGUUUUUUGUGCUCGGGCUGGUGGGCCAUGUAGUAGUUGUUUGGGCUUGUAGUAGCUUAGGCAGGCCUGAAGCGCGGAUCGAGUAUUGCAUUGCGAGAAGAAUCGUUCGCAAUGAAGUAUCAAACAAACUAACUUCAAACCUCAGGCAGGAAAGAGGACCUGCUGAAUUUAA